AAGCUCUUAACGUUUGUUGUUUUGUUUUUUUUUAGUUUGUUUUGCUCUCUCUGAAUGGAAGAUGACACAGUCUGAAAAGUGCUAAAUGCUCCUUCUGUGCCGUAUGUGCAGUCAUUAUCUGGGGCUGUCAGCUGCAUCAACCACAGAUUCACCAGCUUCAUUAGUUUCAUCAGCUUCAUCAGCCUACCAGUCUCAGCAGAGUCAUCAGACACCGCCUCUACCUCCAUGGGGGCAUCAUAUCUGACCGUGAUCACAUCUCUGCUCGUGACCUGGCUUAAAAGAUUGAGUUGAUAAGAUUGAAGAAAUUGCCGAGAGCUUGCCGAGAGAAAGUUUGAUUUUGAGCGUCAACUGAAGAAAAUCUUGUGCUCCCUUGUGACAUUUUUACAAACAAAACAAAAGAUACCUCUAAAAUCGGAUUACCAACUCUUUGUUUUAAUGCAUGAACUCUGUGUAAGAUCAUCUGAAACCAAAUCUGAUGACCUGUGAUACCAACACCCAACAGUUUACACAUGAUGAACAUUAGCUGGUGCCUUCCACAAUUAGUUAUGCGUUUAAGUUUUUGUGUUACCUCGUAUUACACCCCACUUUGGCACUUGCAAUGUUAAUAUUUUUUCUUAUGUACAUUAUUCAUUUCAGCUUCUGUCAACAGUAUUAAUAAACUGAA